rnacentral:rRNA from 1 species
GAUGAACGCUAGCGGGAGGCCUAACACAUGCAAGCCGAGCGGUAGAGUUUCUUCGGAAACUUGCGAGCGGCGCCCGGGUGCGUAACACGUGUGCAACCUACCUUUAUCUGUGGGAUAGCCUUUCGAAAGGAAGAUUAAUACCCCAUAAUAUAAUGAUUGUCAUCAAUUAUUAUUUAAAAUUCCGGUGGAUAUUGAUGUUCACGCUCAAGAUUACCUAGUUGGUGAGGUUACGGCUCACCAAGUCAAUUAUCUUUAGGGGUCCUGAGAGGGGGAACCCCCACACUGGAACUGAGACACGGACCAGACUGCUACGAGAGGCAACAGUAAGGAAUAUGGGACAAGGAGGGAGGGCCUGAUCCAGCCAUCCCGCGUGAAGGAGGACGGCUCUAUGGAAAGUAAACUUCUUUUGAAGAGGGAUAAACCUACCCUCGGGAGGGUAGCUGAAGGUACUGUAAGAAUAAGAACCGGCUAACUCCGUG